rnacentral:rRNA from 1 species
UACAGAGGGUGCGAGCGUUGUCCGGAAUCACUGGGCGUAAAGGGCGCGUAGGUGGCGCUGCAAGUCGGUGGUGAAAGCUCGAUGCUUAACAUCGAGUCGGCCAUCGAAACUGCAGGGCUCGAGCACUGUAGGGGCAGAUGGAAUUCCGGGUGUAGCGGUGGAAUGCGUAGAGAUCCGGAAGAACACCAGUGGCGAAGGCGGUCUGCUGGGCAGUAGCUGACACUGAUGCGCGACAGCGUGGGGAGCAAACAGG